UGAUUGGUGAAUUGAGACCAUUAAUGUUGAUGGUUAUAACUGAAACGUAUUGACUUGUCAUUGCCAUGACUUUUUCUUUUUGUUGGGUUCUCCCCCUUUACAUUUAAUUUCUUGUCAUGCCAGAUGGGUUCAUUCUGCUUUGCUUCCUGGGGUUGUGAUCCUCAAUGUCUGUUCCUAGGCUAUUGUGUAAAAUUCUUUGGAGUGCUGGUUUGGUAUUCACGAAGUUCCUAAGGUGCUGUUUGUCAUGAAAGUAUCUUAUUUCUCCAUCCAUUUUGAAAGAUAGUUUUGCAGGGUACAUCAAUCUGGGUUGGAGGCUGUUUUCUUUUAGGGCUUGGAAUAUGUCACUCCAAGCUCUUCUUGCCUUGAUGGUUUGUGUUGAGAAGUCUGCUGUGAUUGUGAUGGGCUUUGCUUUGUAUGUGAUUUGUUUCUUUUCUCUGACUGCUUGGAGAACUUUGUUCUUCUGUUGAGUUUCUGGAAUCUUAACGAUUAUAUGCCUAUGUGUAGAUUUUUUUUGAUCAAGGCUAUUUGGAGUCCUGUAUGCCUCAGUUAUCUGUAUGUCAAGCUCUUUUCCCCUGCUUGGGAAGUUUUCUGCCAUUAUUUCUGUGAAGAGAUUUUUUAUGUCAUCUGCACUGUCUCCUGUUUCUUCACUGAGCCCAAUCCGUCUUAUGUUAUUCUUUUUUGCAUCAUCUAACAGCUGCUGUAUUGAUUUCUCAUGUCCCCUUAUAAUUUUGAAGUAAUUUUUCUUUUCCUGGUGACUAAUAGCAAUCUUAUCGUCUAUAUCUGAAAUUCUGUCCUCACAUCGGCUCAUUCUGCUGUGUAGACUUUCGGUGGAGUUUUUCAUGUCCUGGAAAUCUAUUUGCAUCUGUUUUAUGGACUCCAUUUGUUUCUUAUGUUGGGAUUCCAUCAUGUUCCUCAGCUCCACUCUAGAUUUAUUAAUCAUGUCUUGCACUAGGGCCACAAUUUCUCCUGUUAUCUGAGAAAUUAUUUCUGAUUUCCUUUUUUCCAGAUCCCCUUUUGUUUCCAGUUCAGUGGGUCCAGGUGGUUGAGUAUCAGAGUGUUCCAUCUCAUUUCCCUUUGGGGUUGCUGUAGGUGAUCUGGAAGUCUGGUUUUGAGACUUAUUUACAUGUUUUCUCAUUUCGACUGGGGCGUGGGGCUGUUAGCACCUGCACGGAUUACGUCCUCUGAGCUGGGUGAGGUGGGACAGGGACCGGGAGCAGCGGUAGGGAUGGUGACCCAAAAGCCCUUUCCUGUGGGCUGGGAGCAGCAGGAGGGAUGGUGGCUGGGAAACCCCUUCCUCUGGACCAGGAGCAGUGGGAUGGUGGCUCAGAAGCUCCUCCCUCUGGGCCGGGAGCGGUGGGAGGGAUGGUGACCGGGAAGCUCCUUCCUCUGGACCAGGAGCAGUGGGAGGACAGCUCAGAAGCCCCUACCUCUGGGCCGGGAACAGUGGGACUCAGUACCUUGGUCUGGUGGUCUCGUGUCCUCUGCAUCUUUGUUGUGUGGAAUCAGGUGGCUGCCUGUCUGCAGUGGGGUGAUUCGGUGUCUUCUGUGCAACUCAGGACCUUGGUAGGGCGUGCACAGACCUAGCUGUCUGCAGCGGGCUGAUUCGGUGUGUUCUGUGGGACUCCAUUAAAUUAUUAAAUAGUGUGUGGUGUUCACACACCACAGAGUUUAGGGUCUAGAAAGAUGUAGUUUAGAAUUCUCUCGAUACCAUUUACUAGGUGAUGGGUAUGGACAAGCUUUUUGGACAACUUACUUAGCAAAGUAAACUUGAACUGAAGGCUGGGAGAUUGUGGCAAGGAAGGUUAACCCUAAAAACAACUCGCCAACAUUUUUCUGGAUUUGAGAGUACUUUCUAAAACUCCAUGUGAAUCUUGUAUUCUUUUUCAUAAAUUUCUAUUUGUUUUACAAGAAAAAUAUUUUUAAGAUGGAAGAGGGGGUUAAGUUGGUUGGUGCUUAUUUUCUCAAAUUUUCUGUAUAAUUAUUUCCCCAAGAACUCAUGCUAUGUUUAUCCUAUGGCUUCAAGCAUUUUUUUCCCCACAUACUUUUAUGGUACAAAAGCAUCUAAACAGAUUAAG
ensembl:lncRNA